rnacentral:rRNA from 1 species
AUUGAACGCUGGCGGAAUGCUUUACACAUGCAAGUCGAACGGUAGAGGGGGCAACCCCUUGAGAGUGGCGAACGGGUGAGUAAUAUAUCGGAACGUGCCCAGUCGUGGGGAUAACGUAGCGAAAGUUACGCUAAUACCGCAUACGAUCUAAGGAUGAAAGCGGGGGAUCGCAAGACCUCGCGCGAUUGGAGCGGCCGAUAUCAGAUUAGGUAGUUGGUGAGGUAAAGGCUCACCAAGCCGACGAUCUGUAGCUGGUCUGAGAGGACGACCAACCACACUGGGACUGAGACACGGCCCAGACUCCUACGGGAGGCAGCAGUGGGGAAUUUUGGACAAUGGGCGCAAGCCUGAUCCAGCAAUGCCGCGUGCAGGAUGAAGGCC